UCCCUGGUGGUCCAGUGGUUUGGACUCUUGGUUUUCACUGUCAGGGGCCAGGGUUCAAUCCCUGCUUGGGGA
rnacentral:tRNA from 1 species